rnacentral:rRNA from 1 species
GUUGAACGCUGGCGGCAUGCCUUACACAUGCAAGUCGAACGGCAGCACGGGUGCUUGCCCCUGGUGGCGAGUGGGGAACGGGUGAGUAAUACAUCGGGACAUGUCCUGUAGUGGGGGGUAGCCCGUCGGAAGCCGGGUUAAUACCGCCUACGAUCUACGUGAAAAGGCGGGGGACCUUCGGGCCGCGGGCCAUGGGGUUGCCCAUUGACGGAUUGGCGCUGCAUUAGCUAGUUGGUGGGGUAAAGGCCUACCAAGGCGACGAUCAGUAGCGGGGCUGAGCGGAUGACCAGCCACACUGGGACUGAGACACGGCCCAGACUCCUACGGGAGGCAGCAGUGGGGAAUUUUGGACAAUGGGCGAAAGCCUGAUCCAGCAAUGCCGCGUGUGUGAAGAAGGCCUUCGGGUUGUAAAGCACUUUUGUCCGGAAAGAAAACCUUGGCACUAAUACGGUCGGGGGAUGACGGUACCGGAAGAAUAAGCACCGGCUAACUACGUG